AGAGUUUGAUCCUGGCUCAGAUUGAACGCUGGCGGCAUGCUUUACACAUGCAAGUCGAACGGCAGCACGGACUUCGGUCUGGUGGCGAGUGGCGAACGGGUGAGUAAUAUAUCGGAAUGUACCCAAGAGUGGGGGAUAACGUAGCGAAAGUUACGCUAAUACCGCAUACGAUCUAAGGAUGAAAGUGGGGGAUCGCAAGACCUCAUGCUCCUGGAGCGGCCGAUACCUGAUUAGCUAGUUGGUGAGGUAAAGGCUCACCAAGGCGACGAUCAGUAGCUGGUCUGAGAGGACGACCAGCCACACUGGAACUGAGACACGGUCCAGACUCCUACGGGAGGCAGCAGUGGGGAAUUUUGGACAAUGGGCGCAAGCCUGAUCCAGCAAUGCCGCGUGAGUGAAGAAGGCCUUCGGGUUGUAAAGCUCUUUUGUCAGGGAAGAAACGGUAGAGGCUAAUAUCCUUGCUAAUGA
rnacentral:rRNA from 1 species